UGAGAGAAGAUGGAAAGACGGUUUACGCUGUCACUUAUAGAUGGGCCCGCGGCGCAUUAGCUAGUUGGUGAGGUAAUGGCUCACCAAGGCGACGAUGCGUAGCCGACCUGAGAGGGUGAUCGGCCACACUGGGACUGAGACACGGCCCAGACUCCUACGGGAGGCAGCAGUAGGGAAUCUUCCGCAAUGGACGAAAGUCUGACGGAGCAACGCCGCGUGAACGAAGAAGGCCUUCGGGUCGUAAAGUUCUGUUGUUAGGGAAGAACAAGUACCAGAGUAACUGCUGGUACCUUGACGGUACCUAACCAGAAAGCCACGGCUAACUACGUGCCAGCAGCCGCGGUAAUACGUAGGUGGCAAGCGUUGUCCGGAAUUAUUGGGCGUAAAGCGCGCGCAGGUGGUUCCUUAAGUCUGAUGUGAAAGCCCACGGCUCAACCGUGGAGGGUCAUUGGAAACUGGGGAACUUGAGUGCAGAAGAGGAAAGUGGAAUUCCAAGUGUAGCGGUGAAAUGCGUAGAGAUUUGGAGGAACACCAGUGGCGAAGGCGACUUUCUGGUCUGUAAACUGACACUGAGGC
rnacentral:rRNA from 1 species